rnacentral:other from 1 species
AAUUCCCUGCCUUGUUCGUGAUACGAAACUAAGUCCUUGAACCGUAAGCUCGUAAAAACGGAACCUUGACUUCGAUGGUGGCCGACAGGCCUUUACUGGAAGUCGUAAGCCACAUGAUUGGGUUCCACCUGUUUCAGGUCAGUUCAAAGGAACUGUUACACACGGCAAAGGCGGGGUUAUU